rnacentral:rRNA from 1 species
GACGAACGCUGGCGGCGUGCCUAACACAUGCAAGUCGAACGGGGUUAGUGCUGGUGCUUGCACCGGUACUAACCUAGUGGCGGACGGGUGAGUAACACGUGAGUAACCUACCCUGCAGUGGGGGAUAACACACCGAAAGGUGUGCUAAUACCGCAUAACAUAGUACUUUCGCAUGGGGGUACUAUCAAAGAUUUAUCGCUGUGGGAUGGGCUCGCGGCCGAUUAGGUAGUUGGUGGGGUAAUGGCCCACCAAGCCGACGAUCGGUAGCCGGACUGAGAGGUUGGACGGCCACAUUGGGACUGAGACACGGCCCAGACUCCUACGGGAGGCAGCAGUGGGGAAUAUUGCACAAUGGGGGAAAGCCUGAUGCAGCGACGCCGCGUGAGGGAUGACGGCCUUCGGGUUGUAAAGCUCUUUCGGCCGGGAAGAAAUACGUAUGGGCUAAUACCCUGUGCGGAUGACGGUACCGGCAUAAGAAGCACCGGCUAACUAACGUGCCAGCAGCCGCGGUAA